AGUGAACGCUGGCGGUAGGCCUAACACAUGCAAGUCGAACGGCAGCACAGUAAGAGCUUGCUCUUACGGGUGGCGAGUGGCGGACGGGUGAGGAAUACAUCGGAAUCUACUUUUUCGUGGGGGAUAACGUAGGGAAACUUACGCUAAUACCGCAUACGACCUACGGGUGAAAGCAGGGGAUCUUCGGACCUUGCGCGAUUGAAUGAGCCGAUGUCGGAUUAGCUAGUUGGCGGGGUAAAGGCCCACCAAGGCGACGAUCCGUAGCUGGUCUGAGAGGAUGAUCACCCACACGGGAACUGAGACACGGUCCAGACUCCUCCGGGAGGCAGCGGGGGGAAAUUUUGAACAAUGGGCGCAAGCCUGUUCCAGCCAUCCCGCGGGGGUGAAGAAGGCCUUCGGGUUGUAAAGCCCUUUUUUGGGGAAAAAAAAGCAGCAGGUUAAUCCCCCGCUGUUCUGCCGGUCCCCAAAGAAUAAGCCCCGGCUACCUUCGG
rnacentral:rRNA from 1 species